rnacentral:rRNA from 1 species
GUGGAUUAGGUACCCUGGUAGUCCACGCCGUAAACGAUGAUGGCUCGCUCUUGGUUCGCAAGGAUCAGGGGCUUAGCGAAAGCGUUAAGCCAUCCACCUGGGGAGUACGCCGGCAACGGUGAAACUCAAAGGAAUUGACGGGGGCCCGCACAAGCGGAGGAACAUGUGGUUUAAUUCGAUGAUACGCGAGGAACCUUACCCAGGCUCGAACGCCGGACGCAUACGGGGGAAACUUCGUAGCCAGCAAUGGCGGCCGGCGAGGUGCUGCACGGCUGUCGACAGCU